rnacentral:miRNA from 4 species
AAGACGGGAGGAAAGAAGGGAG